CGUAGGCUGUUAUAUAAGUCAGUGGUGAAAUAUUCGGGCUCAACCGGGAUACUGCCAUUGAUACUGUAUAGCUGGAAUAUGGUUGCUGUGGGUGGAAUGUGUGGUGUAGCGGUGAAAUGCAUAGAUAUCACACAGAAUAUCGAUUGCGAAGGCAACUCACAAAGCCAUUAUUGACGCUGAUGCACGAAAGUGUGGGGAUCAAACAGGAUUAGAUACCCUGGUAGUCCACACUGCAAACGAUGAUAACUAGCUGUCGGCGAUAGAUAGUCGGUGGCUAAGCGAAAGCGAUAAGUUAUCCACCUGGGGAGUACGACCGCAAGGUUGAAACUCAAAGGAAUUGACGGGGGCCCGCACAAGCGGAGGAACAUGUGGUUUAAUUCGAUGAUACGCGAGGAACCUUACCCGGGCUCGAACGGUGCAGGAAUAUGGUAGAGAUAUCAUAGCUAGCAAUAGUCUGUAUCGAGGUGCUGCAUGGUUGUCGUCAGCUCGUGCCGUGAGGUGUCGGCUUAAGUGCCAUAACGAGCGCAACCCUUGUCGUUAGUUACCAUCAAGUAAAGUUGGGGACUCUAGCGAGACUGCCACCGUAAGGUGUGAGGAAGGGGGGGAUGACGUCAAAUCAGCACGGCCCUUACGUCCGGGGCGACACACGUGUUACAAUGGUAGGUACAGAGGGGCGCUAUCCAGUGAUGGAGUGCGAAUCUCAAAAACCUAUCUCAGUUCGGAUUGGAGUCUGCAACUCGACUCCAUGAAGUUGGAUUCGCUAGUAAUCGCGCAUCAGCCAUGGCGCGGUGAAUACGUUCCCGGGCCUUGUACACACCGCCCGUCAAGCCAUGGAAGCCGGGGGUGCCUGAAGUUCGUGACCGCAAGGAGCGACCUAGGGCAAAACUGGUAACUGGGGCU
rnacentral:rRNA from 1 species